AAAUAGUUAGUUAAAUGUAUUUUUUGGGGGGUUAAUUAGGAGCAAGUCAAAUAUAAUGGACAAACAUCAACAACAAUAGCAAACAAUAGUCUACUCAUAAAAAAGAGAGCUUGCCUUGAAAUAAAAAAAAUUCAAACAUAACUAACCAAACCCAAUUACUCCAAAUUACCUAACUAAUCAAACCCAUUAAUUCAAACCCCUCCUUCUUACAGAUAAUUAAGAACAAAGUGCAGUCAAAGUAGUCAACUCAUGAGUCUCCACUUAACAACUACAAAGGUAGGUAGAGAGGGAAGAAGUAGCAGAAGAAGAAAAAAAGGUAAGAGAGAGUACAUUAUUUAACUAGGGUUCCUUCUUCUUCUUCUUC
rnacentral:lncRNA from 1 species